CAUCGGAAGCUCCUGUGGAAGUGCGCACUUAGAAUAAAGGAUGAUAUGGAUGUGUUUCUCUGGGAAGUGAACGUCACUAUACCAGAUUACUUCAAACCUAACGAUCCAUCUGUGACGGUCUUACAGCGGUCCGUCAUAGCCUACUCAUCUCUGAUGGGUCCAAAUAUAGGGAUGUCACACGUGGUGUGGUGUUAGCCGGGCUCAGAGUGCGGAGGUGGCUUAUCUCCGAUGGAUUCAGAACAGUCGGAGGCUCACCACAGACGGUUGUUCAAAAUGGUUUGU
rnacentral:lncRNA from 1 species